rnacentral:sRNA from 1 species
GUUUUUUGAAGACUUGAUGAACCAUUUGCCAUAGGUCUCAUCCGCUA